UACGGAGGAUGCAAGCGUUAUCCGGAAUGAUUGGGCGUAAAGCGUCCGCAGGUGGCUGUGUAAGUCUGCUGUCAAAGAGCGAAGCUCAACUUCGUAAAGGCAGUGGAAACUACACGGCUAGAGUGCGUUCGGGGCAGAGGGAAUUCCUGGUGUAGCGGUGAAAUGCGUAGAGAUCAGGAAGAACACCGGUGGCGAAGGCGCUCUGCUAGGCCGCAACUGCCACUGAGGGACGAAAGCUAGGGGAGCGAAUGGG
rnacentral:rRNA from 1 species